AUGGAUGGUGUUUGGAGCCCCAGGACUGAACAAGCUCACCUAGGGAGAAGACCCAUCCCCUG
rnacentral:pre_miRNA from 1 species